rnacentral:rRNA from 1 species
UACGGAGGGUGCAAGCGUUAAUCGGAAUUACUGGGCGUAAAGCGUACGUAGGCGGCUUGUUAAGCAAGAUGUGAAAUCCCCGGGCUCAACCUGGGAAUGGCAUUUUGAACUGGCAGGCUCGAGUUCUGAAGAGGGUGGUAGAAUUUCCAGUGUAGCGGUGAAAUGCGUAGAUAUAGGAAGGAACACCAGUGGCGAAGGCGGCCACCUGGACAGGUAUCGACGCUGAGGCGCGAAAGUGUGGGGAGCAAACAGG